GCCAACAAUAUCUACAAUAAAUAGAAAAAAUAAAACAAAAAUACAAGAAUGGUGUUGAAACAUGGGCACUAGGCGGCGGCGAUACGAGUUCACUCGCACUGUGGCUGGCGCGGAGUUUGUGUGUCAUGUGAGCUGAGCAUAGAUUUCGUCACGAGUCAUAUCAGUAGCACGAUACGGCCGCGCUCACUUGGUUGGGUAUCGGUGGUGGUGGCCAGCAACUUUGCUCUUAAUCGCGUUCCAUUUCUGUAUCUACGCGGUAGCACAUUUUCGAUUUCUCAAUGAAACGGUUGGCGACAACAAUUUAGUGCAGCUACGCGAUUUGUGAAUGUGUCUCCGAAAAUCGAGUAUAAGCUAUCAUAAAAGUGAUUAAAAGUUGUAAUUUUACCUGUGCAAAUGAAAUUGAUAUCUCACACAAUUUUUUUACUUGUGAAAAAAGUUGAAAGUGCGAAAAUACACUCAGUCACAGCAACUGCCUCAAUUCAAGGCUAAUACGGAUACACAAAUGUGCAUUGCAGUGUAUUUGCUUCAACGUUUGCGGAAUGCAAAUAUGGAAAAAAUCAACAAUUCUUUUCCUACAUUCUAAUCGUCUAAAAUAAAGG